UACAGAGGUCUCAAGCGUUGUUCGGAUUCAUUGGGCGUAAAGGGUGCGUAGGCGGCGCGGUAAGUCGGGUGUGAAAUUUCGGAGCUUAACUCCGAAACUGCAUUCGGUACUGCCGUGCUUGAGGACUGGAGAGGAGACUGGAAUUUACGGUGUAGCGGUGAAAUGCGUAGAUAUCGUAAGGAAGACCAGUGGCGAAGGCGGGUCUCUGGACAGUUCCUGACGCUGAGGCACGAAGGCCAGGGGAGCAAACGGG
rnacentral:rRNA from 1 species